rnacentral:rRNA from 1 species
UAGGGAAUAUUGGGCAAUGGAGGCAACUCUGACCCAGCCAUGCCGCGUGCAGGAAGAAGGCGCUCAGCGUUGUAAACUGCUUUUAUCGGGGAAGAACGGCAGUCCUGCGGGAUUGUGUGACGGUACUCGAGGAAUAAGCACCGGCUAACUCCGUGCCAGCAGCCGCGGUAAUACGGAGGGUGCGAGCGUUGUCCGGAUUUAUUGGGUUUAAAGGGUGCGUAGGUGGUUCAGUAAGUCUGGUUUGAAAGUCAGUCGCUUAACGAUUGAGGGUGGCUGGAUACUGCUGAACUUGAAUGCCCUGGAGGUAGGUGGAACGGGUUGUGUAGCGGUGAAAUGCAUAGAUAUGACCCAGAACCCCAAUUGCGAAGGCAGCCUACUACGGGGUGAUUGACACUGAGGCACGAGAGCAUGGGGAGCAAACA